UACGUAGGGUCCGAGCGUUGUCCGGAAUUACUGGGCGUAAAGAGCUCGUAGGUGGUUUGUCGCGUUGUUCGUGAAAACUCACAGCUCAACUGUGGGCGUGCGGGCGAUACGGGCAGACUAGAGUACUGCAGGGGAGACUGGAAUUCCCGGUGUAGCGGUGAAAUGCGCAGAUAUCGGGAAGAACACCCGUGGCGAAGGCGGUUCUCUGGGACGGUACUGACGCUGAGACGCGAAAGCGUGGGGAGCAAACAGG
rnacentral:rRNA from 1 species